UACGAAGGGUGCAAGCGUUACCCGGAAUUACUGGGCGUAAAGCGUGCGUAGGUGGUUUGUUAAGUCUGUUGUGAAAGCCCCGGGCUCAACCUGGGAAUGGCAAUGGAUACUGGCAAGCUAGAGUGCGGUAGAGGGUAGUGGAAUUCCCGGUGUAGCGGUGAAAUGCGUAGAGAUCGGGAGGAACACCAGUGGCGAAGGCGGCUACCUGGACCAGCACUGACACUGAGGCACGAAAGCGUGGGGAGCAAACAGG
rnacentral:rRNA from 1 species